rnacentral:rRNA from 1 species
UACAGAGGUCUCAAGCGUUGUUCGGAUUCAUUGGGCGUAAAGGGUGCGUAGGUGGCAUGGUAAGUCGGAUGUGAAAUCCCGGGGCUCAACCCCGGAACUGCAUUCGAUACUGCGGUGCUUGAGGACUGGAGAGGAGACUGGAAUUCAUGGUGUAGCAGUGAAAUGCGUAGAGAUCAUGAGGAAGACCAGUGGCGAAGGCGGGUCUCUGGACAGUUCCUGACACUGAGGCACGAAGGCCAGGGGAGCAAACGGG